CUAUGUCAGGCCCAUUACUAACCAAAACGUCACAGGUGGUCAGUCCAUGGCUGUGCAGGUAUUUAUACUGUGGAUUUUUUUUUUCUUCUUGUGGUGGCAGGAAUUGAACCCACCGAGCCACAUUCCCAGCUACUUUUAAAUCUUUUUACUUUGAGACAGAAUCUUGCUGAGUUGCCCAGGCUGGCUUCAAACUUGCCAUCUUCCUGCCUCAGCUCUGUAUCGCAGGCCUUUAAACAUGCAAAUCACCGCCACACUCUAGCUGAGCACGGCCCCUGCCCCCCUGCCUCCCGUCCUCCAUGCUGCGUCCCCUUUGCACAGCCCACGACCCUUGGGUCACAGCGCUGCCCCACCUCAUCUCAGAGAGCCCUGGGGACUCUAUCACCCUCGGGACUCUAUCGCCCUCCCUGCCUCUCCCCUCCUGGUCCCCCGUGUGUCCUUCCAGCCCUUGCUACUUGGCAACACAAUAUCUUACUUUCUUCUUCAUAGUUUCUCUUCCUGGCUGGUGACUUGCUCACCAGUCCCUGCACCCAGAGCCCGCUGUACCAAGCCUGCUCCCUGAGGGGUCAGUGUUGUCAAGCCCGGGUCAGCCCUGGGGUACAAGCCCAGGCUGCCCUCGAACUCACCAAAAUCCUCCUGUCUCAGCCUUCUGAGUGCUGAGAUCACAGCAUCUUCCUACUGCAGAUGGGGAAAUGGAGGCAUGAAGAGAGGAAAGUCAAAGCGUGAGGUCACACAGCUCCACACUGGCAGUGCCAGGCUGUUUGCCACACUUUCCUUGGCCAGCACCAAAGGGCAGCAUCUUCUGCAGUGAGAAGCAGGAUCUGAAUCAUUGCCUCUUGGAAGUUGCAAAGCAUUCCUCAUCGAACUGCAGCACAAGAAACUGAAAACCGGAGUGCUGUGUAAUCCCAGCACUUGGGAGGCUGAGGCAGGAGGAUCGCCAUGCAUUCAAGGCCAACCUGGGCUACAUAAUGAACUCAAGGCCAGCCUGCACUGCAUGGCAAGACCUUGUCUAAUUAGUAAAUAAAUACAUAGAUAAAAAGUUGCAACCCAGCCAAAGCAGGGCUACGGACAAGUACUAGGGAAUCUCGGUCAUCAUGUUUUGUCUCUGAAAUGUCUGUGGCUGGGAUCUCCCUGCAUGGCCUGAGAUCUCUGCUGAGGCCCAGGCAGCAGAGCCUGGGGUUGGAGGAGGCUGUGAGCCCCAGAAGCCCCAACGAGAAGGGCGUUAGGCUGAACCCAAAGUUCCCCCCGAAGGGACCUGCGGCUCCUCUUAGGGCCCCCCGCCCUGCAAGUCCCCAGUGAGAGUCCAAGCCUGCAGCCCGGCCGGGAGUGCUGGGACAGGGCAGCCACCUGCC
rnacentral:lncRNA from 1 species